rnacentral:rRNA from 1 species
GGUAUUUUGACUAUACAAAGGUAUUGAAAUAAGAUUUUAAUUGAAUGCUAAGAGAAUGGAAACCCAGAAAAAAACUUUUUUUAAAUUAAAAAUUGAAAUUUUUUCAAUUUGUGCAGAAACAAUUAUUAAUAUUAAGGACAAGAAGACCCUAUGAAUUUAUAAAAUUUUAUUUAAUAUGUUAUAACUAUUAAAAAAAUUUUGGCUGGGGCGGCUAAGAAAUAUUUUAAACUUUUUAAAAAUAAAAUGAUCCAUUAUUAAUGAUUAUAUGUUAAAUA